rnacentral:rRNA from 1 species
AACGAACGCUGGCGGCAUGCCUAACACAUGCAAGUCGAACGAGACCUUCGGGUUUAGUGGCGCACGGGUGCGUAACGCGUGGGAACCUGCCCUUAGGUUCGGAAUAACUCCCCGAAAGGGGUGCUAAUACCGGAUAAUGUCUUCGGACCAAAGAUUUAUCGCCUUUGGAUGGGCCCGCGUUGGAUUAGCUAGUUGGUAGGGUAAAAGCCUACCAAGGCGACGAUCCAUAGCUGGUCUGAGAGUAUGAUCAGCCACACUGGGACUGAGACACGGCCCAGACUCCUACGGGAGGCAGCAGUGGGGAAUAUUGGACAAUGGGCGAAAGCCUGAUCCAGCAAUGCCGCGUGAGUGAUGAAGGCCUUAGGGUUGUAAAGCUCUUUUACCCGGGAUGAUAAUGACAGUACCGGGAGAAUAAGCUCCGGCUAACUCCGUG